UUAGGAAUUUUGCGCAAUGGGGGAAACCCUGACGCAGCAACGCCGCGUGAGUGAUGAAGGCCUUCGGGUUGUAAAGCUCUUUUAGCUGGAAAGAACAAAAUGACGGUACCAGCAGAAAAAGCACCGGCUAACUCCGUGCCAGCAGCCGCGGUAAUACGGAGGGUGCAAGCGUUACUCGGAAUUACUGGGCGUAAAGCGCAUGUAGGCGGUCUGCUAAGUCUGAUGUGAAAUCCCUGGACUCAAUCCAGGAAGUGCAUUGGAUACUGGUAGACUAGAGUUUAGGAGAGGAGAACGGAAUUCCUGGUGUAGAGGUGAAAUUCGUAGAUAUCAGGAGGAACAACAGAAGCGAAGGCGGUUCUCUAGACUAUAACUGACGCUGAGAUGCGAAAGCGUGGGUAGCAAACAGGAUUAGAUACCCAUGUAGUCCCUGAGCGGGCUGGCAAGGCGCAU
rnacentral:rRNA from 1 species